AAGAUAGUUUACUAUUUUGGUGGCGACCGGCGCACGGGUGAGUAACGCGUAUGCAACCUACCUUAUACAGGAGUAUAGCCCGAAGAAAUUCGGAUUAAUCCUCCAUAGUAUUUUCUAAUGGCAUCAUUUGGAAAAUUAAAGCUUCGGCGGUAUAAGAUGGGCAUGCGUCCUAUUAGCUAGAUGGUAAGGUAAUGGCUUACCAUGGCAACGAUAGGUAGGGGGCCUGAGAGGGUGAUCCCCCACACUGGUACUGAGACACGGACCAGACUCCUACGGGAGGCAGCAGUGAGGAAUAUUGGGCAAUGGAGGCAACUCUGACCCAGCCAUGCCGCGUGCAGGAAGAAUGCCCUAUGGGUUGUAAACUGCUUUUAUUUAGGAAUAAACCCCUCUACGUGUAGAGGGCUGAAUGUACUAAACGAAUAAGCACCGGCUAACUCCGUGCCAGCAGCCGCGGUAAUACGGAGGGUGCAAGCGUUAUCCGGAAUCAUUGGGUUUAAAGGGUCCGCAGGCGGAUGUAUAAGUCAGUGGUGAAAUCCUGCAGCUUAACUGCAGAACUGCCAUUGAUACUGUACAUCUUGAAUUCGGUCGAAGUGGGCGGAAUGUGUAGUGUAGCGGUGAAAUGCAUAGAUAUUACACAGAACACCGAUAGCGAAGGCAGCUCACUAGGCCUGGAUUGACGCUCAGGGACGAAAGCGUGGGGAUCAAACAGGAUUAGAUACCCUGGUAGUCCACGCUGUAAACGAUGAUUACUCGUUUUCGGCGAUAUACAGUCGGAGACUAAGCGAAAGUGAUAAGUAAUCCACCUGGGGAGUACGAUCGCAAGGUUGAAACUCAAAGGAAUUGACGGGGGCCCGCACAAGCGGUGGAGCAUGUGGUUUAAUUCGAUGAUACGCGAGGAACCUUUCCAGGGCUUAAAUGCAAAGCGA
rnacentral:rRNA from 1 species